UUUUCUUUGCAAAACUGUCCUACAGUGAACAUAGCACUCAACGUUCUUUCAUGCAGAUAAGGUUGGUGCAGCGCCAGAAACAAUUUUGUUGAGGGUUUAGUAACAUACACUAUUGAACUAAUGCAGUUAGAUUCAGAUUUUUUAGAGAGCAACGAGACCCAAAAUAGAAACACUUUAUGAUGUUACAUCAUAUAUGUGCACAUCUUAUCAGCUGUCGUUUACUUAAAUCAGGCAUCAUUUAACCCUUUGAGGGACAGCGGUUAUGACAGUGGACAGCUUAUCAUGCAGAGAAAAGCCACGUGAGGACAAAACUUAUUUGUGUUUGAAUUAUUUCCGAUGGUAAAGAAUUUCCAUGGAACGAAUUGCGUUUGACUGCAAUUCAUUUCAACAUGAGCCUUUUGGCUUGUAAGGAGGACAUUUGAAGCCAUUGUCAAGUACAUUGUCAAAAUCAUUUUGUGAAACUUGCAGGCGGCGCCGAAGCUGUCCUAGGGUUUUGGUUUUCAUUUGUGGCUCACAUACUGUAUCCACUCGAUAGCUUCUCCCUUGCCGGACAAGAGGUCAGGGGGCCUUGACCUGUCAUAGAGACUCAACUUUCCAAGUCCAGAUGGUUCCACGAGAAAUCACUAGAGCUCGGGUUCAGUUUGCAGUCUUGCAGUUGUCUCACAUAUGGUGCAUACCUGUCAACUACUGUAUGCUGGGCUUGUUAAUUAACCAAUAUGUUCAAGCCGUGGACUGCUGAGUCCGUGUUUUCAUCCGCCUCCUCACAGUGAGGGAUUGAGUGACUGGCGUUGACAAAAAUAAAAAAAUAAAAA